rnacentral:sRNA from 1 species
AAUAGCAGCACUUGCGGUUGCAACAAGACAAACUCAUAGCAACACUUGCUGAUGACAUAGAGAUCAUCAGUACUGCUGCUGCUGCUGCUGCUGCUGCUGCUGCUGCUGCUGCUGCUGCUGCUGCUGCUGCUGCUGCUGCUGCUGCUGCUGCUGCUGCUGCUGCUGCUGCUGCUAUU